rnacentral:tRNA from 1 species
GGUUGCAGUUCAGUGGUAGAGUACUUGCCUAGUUUGCAAAAGGCCUUGGGUUCAAUCUCCAGCACCA